rnacentral:misc_RNA from 1 species
GUAGGUGAACCUGCGGAAGGAUCAUUAUCGAGUUAGGGUCUUCAUGGCCCGAUCUCCAACCCUUUGUUUAACCACCAUGUUGCUUUGGCGAGCCCGUCCUCGGACCGUCGGAGGUCUUCUAUAACGGAAGACUUCUGGCCCGUUGCUCGCCAAUAGCCCCCAACCAAAAAUUCUUGUUAAAAAUGUAUUAUCUGAGUUAUAAAACAAAUAAUUAAAACUUUCAACAACGGAUCUCUUGGUUCUG